AGUGUUUAGCAUGCUAAGAAGUGUCAACAAGUCGUACAAGAGAAAGAUUCUUCAUGAGCCAGUGCAUAUGGAGUUUCUAAGCAUAGAAAUUGACUUUGGGAAUGGGCUAUAGCGUCUGGUGUCUAACCAUCAGUGAGAUAUCAUCAUAAAUGGAAGAUUUCAUGUGUCCGGUGGGUCACUUGGUGGUGGACGCAUGGUUGAAGACUCAAUCUGCAGUGUCACAGGUUAGCAAACAACGAG